rnacentral:rRNA from 1 species
CCUACGGGAGGCUGCAGUGGGGAAUAUUGCACAAUGGGCGCAAGCCUGAUGCAGCCAUGCCGCGUGUGUGAAGAAGGCCUUCGGGUUGUAAAGCACUUUCAGCGGGGAGGAAGGCGGUGAGGUUAAUAACCUCAUCGAUUGACGUUACCCGCAGAAGAAGCACCGGCUAACUCCGUGCCAGCAGCCGCGGUAAUACGGAGGGUGCAAGCGUUAAUCGGAAUUACUGGGCGUAAAGCGCACGCAGGCGGUCUGUCAAGUCGGAUGUGAAAUCCCCGGGCUCAACCUGGGAACUGCAUUCGAAACUGGCAGGCUAGAGUCUUGUAGAGGGGGGUAGAAUUCCAGGUGUAGCGGUGAAAUGCGUAGAGAUCUGGAGGAAUACCGGUGGCGAAGGCGGCCCCCUGGACAAAGACCGACGCUCAGGUGCGAAAGCGUGGGGAGCAAACAGGAUUAGAUACCCGUGUAGUC